rnacentral:rRNA from 1 species
UACGAGGGGGGCAAGCGUUGCUCGGAAUCAUUGGGCGUAAAGCGCACGUAGGCGGCCUGUUAAGUCGGAUGUGAAAUCCCUCGGCUCAACCGAGGACGUGCACCCGAAACUGGCGGGCUCGAGUAUGGAAGAGGGUCGCGGAAUUCCCGGUGUAGAGGUGAAAUUCGUAGAUAUCGGGAGGAACACCAGUGGCGAAGGCGGCGACCUGGGCCAAUACUGACGCUGAGGUGCGAAAGCGUGGGGAGCAAACAGG